AUACGUAGGGGGCGAGCGUUGUCCGGAAUGAUUGGGCGUAAAGGGCGCGUAGGCGGCUUUGCAAGUCAGUAGUGGAAGUCCAUUUUUCAAGGAUGGAAGUGCUACAGAAACUGCGGAGCUUGAGUGCAGGAGAGGUUAUCGGAAUUCCCGGUGUAGCGGUGAAAUGCGUAGAGAUCGGGAGGAACACCAGUGGCGAAGGCGGGUAACUGGACUGCAACUGACGCUGAGGCGCGAAAGUGUGGGGAGCAAACAGGAUUAGAUACCCUGGUAGUCCACACUGUAAACGAUGAAUGCUAGGUGUAGGAGGUAUCGACCCCUUCUGUGCCGCAGUAAACACAGUAAGCAUUCCGCCUGGGGAGUACGGUCGCAAGAGUAAAACUCAAAGGAAUUGACGGGG
rnacentral:rRNA from 1 species